rnacentral:tRNA from 1 species
GGGCGCUUAGCUCAGUUGGUAGAGCAUCUCGUUUACACCGAGAGACAGGCCCGAUUUUCGACCGAAUUGCGUUCCCUCCG